AGAGUUUGAUCAUGGCUCAGAUUGAACGCUGGCGGCAGGCCUAACACAUGCAAGUCGAACGGUAGCAGGAAGAAGCUUGCUUCUUUGCUGACGAGUGGCGGACGGGUGAGUAAUGUCUGGGAAACUGCCUGAUGGAGGGGGAUAACUACUGGAAACGGUAGCUAAUACCGCAUAACGUCGCAAGACCAAAGAGGGGGACCUUCGGGCCUCUUGCCAUCGGAUGUGCCCAGAUGGGAUUAGCUAGUAGGUGGGGUAACGGCUCACCUAGGCGACGAUCCCUAGCUGGUCUGAGAGGAUGACCAGCCACACUGGAACUGAGACACGGUCCAGACUCCUACGGGAGGCAGCAGUGGGGAAUAUUGCACAAUGGGCGCAAGCCUGAUGCAGCCAUGCCGCGUGUAUGAAGAAGGCCUUCGGGUUGUAAAGUACUUUCAGCGGGGAGGAAGGGAGUAAAGUUAAUACCUUUGCUCAUUGACGUUACCCGCAGAAGAAGCACCGG
rnacentral:rRNA from 1 species